UCGGGGUAUUCCACAAAAAAUUACUCUGCGGGAUGAAAUAUUCCUCGGGGCCCUCGGAAUAUUUCAUCCCGCAGGGUAAUUUUUUGUGGAAUACCCCU
rnacentral:miRNA from 1 species